AUGCAGAAGAAGUUCUGAAGAGGGUGGGAGUUCAUCUCUUCCUCUUAUACUGCUCAGGGGGCUAGCUGGCAUGAGUUAGGAGGUGGUUCCCCCAGAUCAUCUUGAAUGUUUUGGUGCAACACACUAAUCUUUUCACAGAUUCCAGAGACAGAUUACAAAGAGGAUCCAUAUAUUGAAAUUAAAAACUUGCUCAGAGUAUGCAGAGAUGACCAAGGGGUUGUGUUGGCCCGACAGCAAGGUAGGUGCAAGAGUAGGUUUAGCAGAUUAGCAAACUAAUACAUUUAUUAGUAAUUUAUUAGCAAUUUAAUAGAUUAGCAAAUACUCAGGCUGGAACACACAAUACAUGCUAGGGCUAGGUCUAUAGAAUCUAAAAUGCUUCUGGAGAAGGAUACUGAGGCCUACACUAUAGCAGAAUGGUCACUAGCAGAAGGCAGAUUGUAUCAUGGAAAUCCAGUCAGUAAGUGAACAGGAAUGUAAAAAAGAAAUAAA